UACGUAGGGGGCAAGCGUUGUCCGGAUUUACUGGGCGUAAAGAGCGUGUAGGCGGCCACGCAGGUCCGUUGUGAAAACUGGGAGCUCACCUCCAGCUGUCGACGGAAACCGUGUGGCUAGAGUCCGGAAGAGGAGAGUGGAAUUCCUGGUGUAGCGGUGAAAUGCGCAGAUAUCAGGAAGAACACCAAUGGCGAAGGCAGCUCUCUGGGACGGUACUGACGCUGAGACGCGAAAAGCGUGGGGGAGCGAACAGG
rnacentral:rRNA from 1 species